rnacentral:lncRNA from 1 species
GAAACAUUAUUUUAUCACCAGCUAUUAGACCGCCAUGUCCCUAUCAAUUGGUUCCAAACACAGGAACAUUUGGACAUUAAGUUAGGAGUGCUCAGGGCCACCCCCUUCCACAAUGGACCCUUUGCUCUGGAUGCUAACCUCAGGUGACAGUGUUCAGGACGAGCUACCCCAAAAUAUGGCACUUUGGCAUAUUGAAUAUUUCAAGCUGAAAGAAUUUGAGAAACAACAGGCACAAGAAGGAUUUUCUGACCUUCUCCUGAAGCAAGUCUUAAGCCCUUCAAGUGAGAGGUGCCCUCCCUACACCCGGAAGAAAGGAAUAUCCUUAUCUCCAAAGACAGAGGGGCACCAAGAGC